GCAGUUCAUCUUAUGUUGCCUUGCUUUUAGUUUGGUGGCUGUAAAAUGCAUAGCAUUAAUUUUGUUGCUUAAAUGAGCUCAUGUUAAAAGAUAAGAAUAAAAGCUUCUGUAUGAAGGUUGGUCAGUUUUUUUGUGAGGGUGUGCUUUUGAUUUUUUUCAAGAGAGCUGGAGAUAUUUGCUGACUUGAGGUAACGAUUUGGGAAUCCAUUCAAAAGCAGAUAAUUAGCCUUGAAGGAAGACUCCUGAAAAUAACGGAGUUGUUGUGGAAAUAUUUAUUAAAAGACAUAAACAGGUGAAUAAAAAGAAGAUACACUUCGUGAAUGGUCAUCAUAUGAUUUAAUAAGGUUUGCAAUUGCAAAGAUGAGCCACGGCAUGAUCAGAUCCGGAUCAAAGGACCGGACACACAGCAACUAACAGCAGAGAUACAGAAUAGGAGUUUUAACAUACGGGCGGAGCCCAUGAACGUCCAAUGAGGAAAUGACGGGUCCCAAAGCAGCUUAACUGAGAAGGACACGUACGAUGGUGCCUCCAAAAUCAGAAAAGAUGAAAUGAAAUUAUGACAGUUAUCAAAAAGACACAAAUAGAAAUGUCAAGACAGUAUGAUCUUAAUAAUCGGGCAGAAAGGUAUAAUUAUUUUCUAGCACAAUCCCCUCCUUUUGAUCAGUCAUUGAUCAACUAAAUUAAAGAGAAUAAUUAUAAACUGCCUCAACACAAAUGUCAAAGAAACGACGACAAAUGUAAUGUAAAACAAGGAAAUGGUGCAAAGGAUUGACGACCAAACUGAUACCAUUAAAAAUGUAAAUAUAACCAAAUCAUAAAAGAAAAAAUGAAACAACUUUUAAUAAAUC